rnacentral:ncRNA from 1 species
CUCGUCGAGGGGCGCUGCGACCGGCAUGGCGGACUGAUCUGUCAACUGCACCGAAUGUGCAGGCACUACGGCCAGGCUCGACCAGCAUUCACCGUUCAACGGCGCCCGGAACUG